rnacentral:rRNA from 1 species
GUAGUCCACGCCGUAAACGAUGGAUACUAGCUGUUCGGCAGCAAUGCUGAGUGGCUAAGCGAAAGUGAUAAGUAUCCCACCUGGGGAGUACGAACGCAAGUUUGAAACUCAAAGGAAUUGACGGGGGCCCGCACAAGCGGUGGAGCAUGUGGUUUAAUUCGAUGAUACGCGAGGAACCUUACCAGGGCUUAAAUGUAGGUUGACAGGACUGGAAACAGUUUUUCCUUCGGGCAACUUACAAGGUGCUGCAUGGUUGUCGUCAGCUCGUGCCGUGAGGUGUCAGGUUAAGUCCUAUAACGAGCGCAACCCCUGUUGUUAGUUGCCAGCGAGUCAAGUCGGGAACUCUAACA